GAAGCUCCUUGUGGUCCAAUUUCAACCUUCAAGAUCAAGCCUCAACGGCCCUUGAAGAAAUUUCAAAUGAAAGUUCAAGAACAAGCCUCAACGGCCCUUGAAGAAAUCUCCAGCCCAAUUCAAGAUCAAGCCUCGAAUGGCCCUUGGAUCGACAUCUACAAUAAGGGACUUCAAAACGCAUCUUCUACACGUGACAAGCACAUGUAUACAACGCGCCUUGAAGUGGGGGCAUUUGUAGACAUCGAAAUUUCGGUAAAAUAAAUGUUGAUCAAAAAUUAAAAUUUCAAUGUUUAUGUGUCACAUAAAUUUUACACAUAGCAUGUGACUAAACGAAAAAUCAAAAUAAAUUGGAAAAGUCAUCAAACAGGACACGUGUCAACACCUGGCAGAGAUGAUUUAUUCCAUCUAAUUAUUUAAAUCCAAAAAAUCAAGUUUUGGAAUUCUAUAAAUAGGAGGCCAAGGCAUUCAUUUUGGGGACACCAAUUCAUAACCAAUUCACUUCAUAUCAAAACCUUGAAGCUUUGAAACUCAAAAGCUCCCAAGCAAAUCC
rnacentral:lncRNA from 1 species